CCGUAGCCUGGUAGCGGGGGAUAACUAUUGGAAACGAUAGCUAAUACCGCAUAACAGUAGAUAUCGCAUGAUAUUUGCUUGAAAGGUGCAAUUGCACCACUAGCAGAUGGACCUGCGUUGUAUUAGCUAGUUGGUGAGGUAACGGCUCACCAAGGCAACGAUACAUAGCCGACCUGAGAGGGUGAUCGGCCACACUGGGACUGAGACACGGCCCAG
rnacentral:rRNA from 1 species